AAAUUGAAGAGUUUGAUCAUGGCUCAGAUUGAACGCUGGCGGCAGGCCUAACACAUGCAAGUCGAACGGUAACAGGAAGCAGCUUGCUGCUUCGCUGACGAGUGGCGGACGGGUGAGUAAUGUCUGGGAAACUGCCUGAUGGAGGGGGAUAACUACUGGAAACGGUGGCUAAUACCGCAUAACGUCGCAAGACCAAAGAGGGGGACCUUCGGGCCUCUUGCCAUCAGAUGUGCCCAGAUGGGAUUAGCUUGUUGGUGAGGUAACGGCUCACCAAGGCGACGAUCCCUAGCUGGUCUGAGAGGAUGACCAGCCACACUGGAACUGAGACACGGUCCAGACUCCUACGGGAGGCAGCAGUGGGGAAUAUUGCACAAUGGGCGCAAGCCUGAUGCAGCCAUGCCGCGUGUAUGAAGAAGGCCUUCGGGUUGUAAAGUACUUUCAGCGGGGAGGAAGGUGUUGUGGUUAAUAACCGCAGCAAUUGACGUUACCCGCAGAAGAAGCACCGGCUAACUCCGUGCCAGCAGCCGCGGUAAUACGGAGGGUGCAAGCGUUAAUCGGAAUUACUGGGCGUAAAGCGCACGCAGGCGGUCUGUCAAGUCGGAUGUGAAAUCCCCGGGCUCAACCGGGGAACUGCAUUCGAAACUGGCAGGCGUGAGGCUUGGGAGGAAUACCGGUGGCGAAGGCGGCCCCCUGGACAAAGACUGACGCUCAGGUGCGAAAGCGUGGGGAGCAAACAGGAUUAGAUACCCUGGUAGUCCACGCCGUAAACGAUGUCUACUUGGAGGUUGUGCCCUUGAGGCGUGGCUUCCGGAGCUAACGCGUUAAGUAGACCGCCUGGGGAGUACGGCCGCAAGGUUAAAACUCAAAUGAAUUGACGGGGGCCCGCACAAGCGGUGGAGCAUGUGGUUUAAUUCGAUGCAACGCGAAGAACCUUACCUGGUCUUGACAUCCACAGAACUUUCCAGAGAUGGAUUGGUGCCUUCGGGAACUGUGAGACAGGUGCUGCAUGGCUGUCGUCAGCUCGUGUUGUGAAAUGUUGGGUUAAGUCCCGCAACGAGCGCAACCCUUAUCCUUUGUUGCCAGCGAUUAGGUCGGGAACUCAAAGGAGACUGCCAGUGAUAAACUGGAGGAAGGUGGGGAUGACGUCAAGUCAUCAUGGCCCUUACGACCAGGGCUACACACGUGCUACAAUGGCGCAUACAAAGAGAAGCGACCUCGCGAGAGCAAGCGGACCUCAUAAAGUGCGUCGUAGUCCGGAUUGGAGUCUGCAACUCGACUCCAUGAAGUCGGAAUCGCUAGUAAUCGUGGAUCAGAAUGCCACGGUGAAUACGUUCCCGGGCCUUGUACACACCGCCCGUCACACCAUGGGAGUGGGUUGCAAAAGAAGUAGGUAGCUUAACCUUCGGGAGGGCGCUUACCACUUUGUGAUUCAUGACUGGGGUGAAGUCGUAACAAGGUAACCGUAGGGGAACCUGCGGUUGGAUCACCUCCUUACCUUAAAGAA
rnacentral:rRNA from 1 species